UCCGGACAUCGGGUACCAUUGCUAGAUGGUCACUUCGAUUGGUACAGAAAUUGGUUCCUAUGCUACCGACUUAGGUUCGAACCUGCGGGGUCACACUCAUUAGAGGUUCCUAUCUGAUCUGAUGGCUGAUGAAGAGUCCUACAUAUCUAAAACUCUGUGAUCAAGAAUCAGAAUUCUCUGAUCAUGAGUACCACACAUUUUGGG
rnacentral:lncRNA from 1 species